UCCAUCAUUAGUCUGAGUAAAAGCUGUGUGUGUGUGUGUGUGUGUGUGUGUGUGUGUGUGUGUGUGUGUGUGUGUGUGUGUGUGUGUGUGUGUGUGUGUGUGUGUGUGUGUGUGUGUGUGUGUGUGUUGAAGCCCAGAGCAGCAGCAGAGAGCAGACUCCCCUGGACCCAGCUGUGUCUCCAUGAAGAGUGACUGGUCUAUGGAUCAUCCUUAUAGCUUUAAAGAUGGACGCCCCUCCAGAGAGGAGAGCCCAGAGCAGCAGCAGAGAGCAGACUCCCCUGGACCCAGCUGUGUCUCCAUGAAGAGUGACUGGUCUAUGGGUCUACCUGAUAACUUUAAAGAUGGACGCCCCUCCAGAGAGGAGAGAAGGAGGCAGCAGAGAGCAGACUCCCCUGGACCCAGCUGUGUCUCCAUGAAGAGUGACAGGUCUAUGGGUCAACCUGUUAACUUUAAAG